ACACUGAAAAGGCUAACUCCGGGAGACCGGAAGACGCAAAACCGACGGGUCGAACCCCAGCCCUCCCCUACUGGAGCUUGAAACAGACGGCCAGGUUACCGAA
rnacentral:ncRNA from 1 species